ACGGAAGGCAGCAGUGGGGAAUAUUGCACAAUGGGCGAAAGCCUGAUGCAGCGACGCCGCGUGAGUGAAGAAGUAUCUCGGUAUGUAAAGCUCUAUCAGCAGGGAAGAAAAUGACGGUACCUGACUAAGAAGCCCCGGCUAACUACGUGCCAGCAGCCGCGGUAAUACGUAGGGGGCAAGCGUUAUCCGGAUUUACUGGGUGUAAAGGGAGCGUAGACGGUUUGGCAAGUCUGAAGUGAAAUGCGGGGGCUCAACUCCUGAACUGCUUUGGAAACUGUCGAACUAGAGUGCAGGAGAGGUAAGUGGAAUUCCUAGUGUAGCGGUGAAAUGCGUAGAUAUUAGGAGGAACACCAGUGGCGAAGGCGGCUUACUGGACUGUAACUGACGUUGAGGCUCGAAAGCGUGGGGAGCAAACAGGAUUAGAUACCCUAGUA
rnacentral:rRNA from 1 species